rnacentral:rRNA from 1 species
UUGAACGCUGGCGGCAUGCUUUACACAUGCAAGUCGAACGGUAACAGGUCUUCGGAUGCUGACGAGUGGCGAACGGGUGAGUAAUGCAUCGGAACGUGCCCAGUCGUGGGGGAUAACGCAGCGAAAGCUGUGCUAAUACCGCAUACGAUCUAUGGAUGAAAGCGGGGGAUCGCAAGACCUCGCGCGAUUGGAGCGGCCGAUGUCAGAUUAGCUAGUUGGUGGGGUAAAGGCCCACCAAGGCGACGAUCUGUAGCUGGUCUGAGAGGACGACCAGCCACACUGGGACUGAGACACGGCCCAGACUCCUACGGGAGGCAGCAGUGGGGAAUUUUGGACAAUGGGCGCAAGCCUGAUCCAGCAAUGCCGCGUGCAGGAAGAAGGCCUUCGGGUUGUAAACUGCUUUUGUACGGAACGAAAAGGUCUGGGUUAAUACCCUGGGCUCAUGACGGUACCGUAAGAAUAAGCACCGGCUAACUACGUG